AUUUUAUUAGUAUAAGUAGUAUGCUUGUUUUCCACACAGGAGGUUUAUAAACAUAAAUAAAAUA
rnacentral:tRNA from 1 species